AAGCGCCGGUAAGGUGAUAUGAACCGUUAUAACCGGCGAUUUCCGAAUGGGGAAACCCAGUGUGUUUCGACACACUAUCAUUACGUGAAUACAUAGCGUAAUGAAGCGAACCGGGGGAACUGAAACAUCUAAGUACCCCGAGGAAAAGAAAUCAACCGAGAUUCCCCCAGUAGCGGCGAGCGAACGGGGAGGAGCCCAGAGCCUGAAUCAGCAUGUGUGUUAGUGGAAGCGUCUGGAAAGGCGCGCGAUACAGGGUGACAGCCCCGUACACAAAAGCGCAUGUGCUGUGAGCUCGAUGAGUAGGGCGGGACACGUGGUAUCCUGUCUGAAUAUGGGGGGACCAUCCUCCAAGGCUAAAUACUCCUGACUGACCGAUAGUGAACCAGUACCGUGAGGGAAAGGCGAAAAGAACCCCGGCGAGGGGAGUGAAAAAGAACCUGAAACCGUGUACGUACAAGCAGUGGGAGCACAGGUUUACCUGUGUGACUGCGUACCUUUUGUAUAAUGGGUCAGCGACUUAUAUUCUGUAGCAAGGUUAACCGAAUAGGGGAGCCGUAGGGAAACCGAGUCUUAAC
rnacentral:rRNA from 1 species